AAGUCGUAACAAGGUUUCCGUAGGUGAACCUGCGGAAGGAUCAUUAACACGUAUCCAACGUUAAACAACCGAACUUUAAGCCUACUCUUGCAGCCCAUGAGGAACAGCAAUCCCGGUAAAUCAUUGCCAAACAGUUUUGAUUCGGGACCUCUGUCCAAAAGGAGUUGCAAUUGAGUGGUAGAUGCAGUGGCAUAGUGUCACUGACUGUGUAAGGAUAACGCCUCACGGUUGCCAGAGGUCGAUCACCGACCGGCAGACAUGUCACAGGGCCACCGCGCCCCUUAAUCACUCCACUAGAAAAUGCCCCGCCUAGUGGUAACGCGCUAGGUAAAAAAAACCGAACAACUGUUAACAAUGGAUAUCUUGGUUCUC
rnacentral:misc_RNA from 1 species